AAAAUCAAUUGUUGUUGAAUCCAACUUCCAUAAACAAUCCCUUUUCCUUUAACUCUUUCAUUGAAUCCUUCAGGCAAGGCUUCCUCAAUAGAGUCAAAUCCAUUAGGUGGCUUAAGUGCUGCAAGAAAUUUCAUUGAAUCCUUCAGGCAAGGCUUCCUCAAUAGAGUCAAAUCCAUUAGGUGGCUUAAGUGCUGCAAGAAAUGGAAAACCUGUUAACUCAAGACCAAGCAACAACUCUUGAAACUGAUUUUGUUCCAAUGGACCUUCACUUCCAUAUGCACAAAAA
rnacentral:lncRNA from 1 species